rnacentral:rRNA from 1 species
GAUGAACGCUGGCGGCGUGCCUAAUACAUGCAAGUCGAGCGAACAGACGAGGAGCUUGCUCCUCUGACGUUAGCGGCGGACGGGUGAGUAACACGUGGAUAACCUACCUAUAAGACUGGGAUAACUUCGGGAAACCGGAGCUAAUACCGGAUAAUAUAUUGAACCGCAUGGUUCAAUAGUGAAAGACGGUUUUGCUGUCACUUAUAGAUGGAUCCCCGCCGCAUUAGCUAGUUGGUAAGGUAACGGCUUACCAAGGCAACGAUGCGUAGCCGACGUGAGAGACGGAUCGGCCACCCUAGAACUGAGACACGCUCCAGACUCCUACGGGAGGCAGCAGUAGGGAAUCUUCCGCAAUGGGCGAAAGCUUGACGGAGCAACGCCGCGUGAGUGAUGAAGGUCUUCGGAUCGUAAAACUCUGUUAUUAGGGAAGAACAAAUGUGUAAGGAACUAUGCACGUCUUGACGGUACCUAAUCAGAAAGCCACGGCUAACUACGUG